GGAAGUAAAAGUCGUAACAGGGUUUCCGUAGGUGAACCUGCGGAAGGAUCAUUAUUGUAUAACCGAGGUGCGAGGGCUGUCGCUGACCCGAAAGGUCGUGCACGCCCGAGUGCCCUCACACACAUCCAUCUCACCCCUAUGUGCACCACCGCGUGGGUCCCCCUUUGGCUUGUUCGGAGGGGGGCUUACGUUUUCACACAAACUUUGUAUGCAGUGUAGAAUGUAUUUUUUGUUUUUGCGAUCACGCAAUCAAUACAACUUUCAACAAAGGAUCUCUUGGCUCUC
rnacentral:misc_RNA from 1 species